AGAACGAACGCUGGCGGCAUGCCUAACACAUGCAAGUCGAACGCUUUUGGGGCUUCGGUCCCAAAGGAGUGGCGCACGGGUGAGUAGCGCGUGGGAACCUGCCCUGUUGUGGGGGAUAACCGAGGGAAACUUCGGCUAAUACCGCAUACGCCCGGGGGAAACUCCGGGGAAAGAUUUAUCGCCGAAAGAUCGGCCCGCGUCUGAUUAGCUAGUUGGUGAGGUAACGGCUCACCAAGGCGACGAUCAGUAGCUGGUCUGAGAGGAUGAUCAGCCUCACUGGGAAUGAGACACGGCCCAGACUCCUACGGGAGGCAGCAGUGGGGAAUAUUGGACAAUGGGCGCAAGCCUGAUCCAGCCAUGCCGCGUGGGUGAUGAAGGCCCUAGGGUUGUAAAGCCUUUCGGCGGGAAGAUAAUGACGGUACCGCAGAAGACGCCCGGACUAACUCGUGCCAGCAGCCGC
rnacentral:rRNA from 1 species